rnacentral:lncRNA from 1 species
CAGAAUUUACAAUUGUUAACAUAGGAAAGUGUUGUUAGUGAGUUUUUGAGAUCUUACAUUAGUUAUGUACUUAGAUGUAUGUAGAUACUUGCUUAAAUAUCUUUUCAUUAUUUUUAUUUUUGUAAUAAAUUUUGUAUGUGAAUGUAACAAGAGUUGGCCCUUGUUUAAUGUUUGGGUUAGUUUCCUCAAAAUUAGAACUUUAACCAAAACUAUAAUCCAUAUAGGCCUGGUGUUAAGAAUUGGGAUUAAAGAGGCUAUCAGUGACCAAUAUAAGUGGGAAUUACAUAUAAAUUUUUCCUUAAAUCAGGAAAAUUAAGAAACCUGAUGUUAGUUUGCAUUAUGAUUAAAAAUAAUAUAAAUUUUGGGAAGGCAAGACAUUAACAAUAUUGCAAUGUUUUCUUUUUUUAAAUUUUAAAACAUCAAUACAUUUGUGGUUAAUGACAGUUU